rnacentral:rRNA from 1 species
UGGGGAAUAUUGCACAAUGGGCGCAAGCCUGAUGCAGCAACGCCGCGUGAGGGACGACGGCCUUCGGGUUGUAAACCUCUUUUAGUAGGGAAGAAGCGAAAGUGACGGUACCUGCAGAAAAAAGCACCGGCUAACUACGUGCCAGCAGCCGCGGUAAUACGUAGGGUGCGAGCGUUGUCCGGAAUUAUUGGGCGUAAAGAGCUCGUAGGCGGUCUGUCGCGUCUGCUGUGAAAACCCGAGGCUCAACCUCGGGCCUGCAGUGGGUACGGGCAGACUAGAGUGCGGUAGGGGAGAAUGGAAUUCCUGGUGUAGCGGUGGAAUGCGCAGAUAUCAGGAGGAACACCGAUGGCGAAGGCAGUUCUCUGGGCCGUAACUGACGCUGAGGAGCGAAAGCGUGGGGAGCGAACAGGAUUAGAUACCCUGGUAGUCCACGCCGUAAAACGUUGGGCGCUAGAUGUGGGGACCAUUCCACGGGUUUCCGUGUCGCAGCUAACGCAUUAAGCGCCCCGCCUGGGGAGUACGGCCGCAAGGCU